UCCUGUAAAGCUUUCUGCCGGGUCUGCGCUAUUGCUGGGAAGGAGAAGGCUUUUAUCCUACACUGACACAGAGAUAAAUGUUUGGAUAUUUGCUCUCAGUUACCUAAUCUGAAGUUGAACUGCACUUCACAUGUGCAUGGGACAGUCUAUAUGAGAAGGCAAAGGUUAAUGGGAAGCUUCACUCUGCUUUUGACUGCUGAGAAACAAAAUGUGCUUCCAGGAAAGAUGUAAGUAGCAAUGGGCAAUUUUAUAUUACUAAGGGGCUUUU
rnacentral:lncRNA from 1 species